ACUCUACUAGGUGGGAACACUCUGAGCCCCCCACCUCACGUCUAAAAUACUUUUUGAACAGAAAAAUCUGGUCAAUAUAGAAAUAAAUAAAUUAACCAGAUCUGUCGGGGCGCUGUGGAGUAACCAAAAAAGUCUGGUGAAAUAUUUUCUUUUCUGUCCAAAAAGUGUAUUUUAGAUGUGAGGUGGGGGUCAAAGUGUUCCCACUUAGUAGAGU